UACGUAGGGCGCAAGCGUUGUCCGGAAUUAUUGGGCGUAAAGAGCUCGUAGGCGGCCUGUCGCGUCUGCUGUGAAAUCCCGGGGCUCAACCCCGGGCCUGCAGUGGAUACGGGCUGGCUGGAGGCAGGCAGGGGAGAACGGAAUUUCUGGUGUAGCGGUGAAAUGCGCAGAUAUCAGGAGGAACACCGGUGGCGAAGGCGGGUCUCUGGGCAGUAACUGACGCUGAGGAGCGAAAGCGUGGGGAGCGAACAGG
rnacentral:rRNA from 1 species